rnacentral:lncRNA from 1 species
ACGUAUCCUAACCCAUGUAAUUAUACCCCAUAAAAAUAUAAAAAUAACAAUCCUUAACAAAAUUCCUAACAAAUUUUACCUUAUUUUAAUCAUCCUAACAACCUAACUACCCCUACCCACCUCAUUAUCCACGUCACCCCACCCAAUUUCCCUCACAUUUUAUUUUUCAUAAAAAAAAAUACAAAGAUAAGAGGAGAAAGAAAUACAUCACAACAACUUGAAGGGGAGCCCACACCAUAGAUAUACACCAUCUUCUUCUCCGCAAAAUACACGGAUCCACUGGGAAUAUUCACGACUCCCCAUCAAUUUUCACACACACAAAACGCAUAUACAGUGAGGACACACGCAUCUGGGGAACCUCCAUUUUUUUUUCAUGUUCACAGCAAAUACACGAUAUAUGCACACAUUGCACUGAAAUUCUUUUUCUUCUCAGGGAGAAUACACGCACAUAGGGAGAAUCAGCACACACAUACAACAACACCAUUUCACACACCCACACGCUGAAACGGAGAAAAAAUGGGAGUGGAAGCUAGUAACUGAGAGAUUGAACGAAGAGAGAGGAGGGAGAUCGAACGGGAGAGGAUUCAGGGAGGAGAAAAAUAGCAUCGCCACUGUUAAGCUCGCCGGAGCUCCGGUGACGCUACAACAGUGAUCAGACGAACCCCAAAGGAUCGAGCUCGACCCAAUUCUGCCUGAUUCCAGCGAGGUCCGUCGGAAAAUGAGAGAAACAGCAAAAAAGGUGUAUGGAUUUUAGUACUAGUUUCAUGUUGCUUUCUCGAUUCUAAUUCGGGUUGGCGAAGCAGAGUAAAAAGGUAUAUCGAGCUCGGGUUGGUUGGUUGAGGUUCGAUUCGAGGUUCAUCGGCGCGGACUCUACCGGAUUUAAUCGAAAUAAUACAUCGAAUUGAGAAAGCUUUAAAUCGAGGUUCAAUUCUACUCUUUUUCUUUUUUUUUAUCUCAUCGUUUAUUAUAUUUGGUGUGUUAGAUUGAAUAUCAUGUGUCGCUUGAUCCUUGUUGAUGAUGAAUAGUGAUUUAUUUUGAUUCGUGGUUGGUUUCCUUGAUUAUAGAUUGCACGGUGAAAUAUUUCGUUUGAGAAUUAAAAUUAAUUUGGGGGUGAGAAUUGAAAACUUGACAUAAUUGGUGAACUUUGGUUAGUUUGAUUCAUUGAUUGUUUGACUUGAAAUGAACAUUAAUUGAACUUAGUAGUACAUGAUACGUCGAUUGGUUUAGACAAACAUAGGUUGUGUAGGCAAAGUUUAGAAUUUGUGUUUUUUUUUUUGUUUGAGUUUAGACAAUGAUAUUGAGUUUCGGCGAUGGUAUGUUUGGUUCACACCUCCCCAAAGUGGUCUCAAUCUUUUAUGAGGUAAAAUAAUAUAAUGUUUUCUGCCAAAGGUAGGUAUUUUCACAUUAACUUUAUUGCCUAUAUUUAUGAGGAACCUACAUACUCAUCAAUAUAAUGAAUUGCAUUAGACUUAGUGACAGCCAUGUAUUUAAACAUGUUAAUCACGGAGAUAUACUAUCGAAUAUUACGGUAAGGAAUUAUUCUCCUAUUUAAAUUUGACCAUUGAACAUAUGGUUCUACACUGUAAACUUUUAUCUAGAAUAUGCUUUCGUCCCAAAAUCGACAAAACAAGUUACAAGUUUCCUGUCUUGUCCAUUUUUCCUUAUAUUUUUAAAUCAGAGAUUUAGGUAGAUACCUAAUUUUAUUCCUUUUAAAUUUAAUUUUAUUCGUUUUAAUUUACCUUACCACGUAUCCUAACCCAUGUAAUUAUACCCCAUAAAAAUAUAAAAAUAACAAUCCUUAACAAAAUUCCUAACAAAUUUUACCUUAUUUUAAUCAUCCUAACAACCUAACUACCCCUACCCACCUCAUUAUCCACGUCACCCCACCCAAUUUCCCUCACAUUUUAUUUUUCAUAAAAAAAAAUACAAAGAUAAGAGGAGAAAGAAAUACAUCACAACAACUUGAAGGGGAGCCCACACCAUAGAUAUACACCAUCUUCUUCUCCGCAAAAUACACGGAUCCACUGGGAAUAUUCACGACUCCCCAUCAAUUUUCACACACACAAAACGCAUAUACAGUGAGGACACACGCAUCUGGGGAACCUCCAUUUUUUUUUCAUGUUCACAGCAAAUACACGAUAUAUGCACACAUUGCACUGAAAUUCUUUUUCUUCUCAGGGAGAAUACACGCACAUAGGGAGAAUCAGCACACACAUACAACAACACCAUUUCACACACCCACACGCUGAAACGGAGAAAAAAUGGGAGUGGAAGCUAGUAACUGAGAGAUUGAACGAAGAGAGAGGAGGGAGAUCGAACGGGAGAGGAUUCAGGGAGGAGAAAAAUAGCAUCGCCACUGUUAAGCUCGCCGGAGCUCCGGUGACGCUACAACAGUGAUCAGACGAACCCCAAAGGAUCGAGCUCGACCCAAUUCUGCCUGAUUCCAGCGAGGUCCGUCGGAAAAUGAGAGAAACAGCAAAAAAGGUGUAUGGAUUUUAGUACUAGUUUCAUGUUGCUUUCUCGAUUCUAAUUCGGGUUGGCGAAGCAGAGUAAAAAGGUAUAUCGAGCUCGGGUUGGUUGGUUGAGGUUCGAUUCGAGGUUCAUCGGCGCGGACUCUACCGGAUUUAAUCGAAAUAAUACAUCGAAUUGAGAAAGCUUUAAAUCGAGGUUCAAUUCUACUCUUUUUCAUUUUUUUUAUCUCAUCGUUUAUUAUAUUUGGUGUGUUAGAUUGAAUAUCAUGUGUCGCUUGAUCCUUGUUGAUGAUGAAUAGUGAUUUAUUUUGAUUCGUGGUUGGUUUCCUUGAUUAUAGAUUGCACGGUGAAAUAUUUCGUUUGAGAAUUAAAAUUAAUUUGGGGGUGAGAAUUGAAAACUUGACAUAAUUGGUGAACUUUGGUUAGUUUGAUUCAUUGGUUGUUUGACUUGAAAUGAACAUUAAUUGAACUUAGUAGUACAUGAUACGUCGAUUGGUUUAGACAAACAUAGGUUGUGUAGGCAAAGUUUAGAAUUUGUGACUUUGGUUGAAUGUUGGAAAUUCCGUGAAUGUUUGAAAUUUUGUUGAAUAGUUUGAUUUUUCUGCACUAAUUAUGUAUUCAUUUGGCUGGGUAAUGCCUUGAGUGAUUUGUAUUGAUUUAUUCGGGGAAUGCCCCGAAGUAUCUUGUACUUGAAGACGACGCACAAUCAAGGCCCGGAAUGUCGGAUGGAGAAAGCAAUGGAGUGUAGUUUAGAAUUGACAUAGAAUAGAGUAGGUUUAUAAUUUCGCAUUUUCUAUUUCGAGAUUGUAAUAAUCGGACUGGACACUAUAAUUUUGGAUUUGUUUUGUUUGUUUGUUUGAUUGAUUGUUUUGUGUGAUUUUGUGUGGUUUAUAUA